UACGGAAGGCAGCAGUGGGGAAUAUUGCACAAUGGGCGAAAGCCUGAUGCAGCUAUGCCGCGUGUAUGAAGAAGGCCUUAGGGUUGUAAAGUACUUUCAUCGGGGAGGAAAAACAAAACUAAUAAUUUUAUUUCUUGACGUUACCCGAAAAAGAAGCACCGGCUAACUCCGUGCCAGCAGCCGCGGUAAUACGGAGGGUGCUAGCGUUAAUCAGAAUUACUGGGCGUAAAGAGCACGUAGGUGGUUUUUUUAAGUCAGAUGUGAAAUCCCUGGGCUUAACCUAGGAACUGCAUUUUGAAACUGAAAUACUAGAGUAUCGUAGAGGGAGGUAGAAUUCUAGGGUGUAGCGGUGAAAUGCGUAGAUAUCUGGAGGAAUACCUGUGGCGAAAGCGGCCUCCUAAACGAAUACUGACACUGAGGUGCGAAAGCGUGGGGAGCAAACAGGGAUUAGAUACC
rnacentral:rRNA from 1 species